rnacentral:rRNA from 1 species
UACGUAGGGUGCGAGCGUUAAUCGGAAUUACUGGGCGUAAAGCGUGCGCAGGCGGUUUGUUAAGUCUGUUGUGAAAUCCCCGAGCUCAACUUGGGAAUUGCAAUGGAUACUGGCAGGCUGGAGUAUGGUAGAGGAAGGUGGAAUUCUCGGUGUAGCAGUGAAAUGCGUAGAGAUCGGGAGGAACACCAGUGGCGAAGGCGGCCUUCUGGACCAAUACUGACGCUCAUGCACGAAAGCGUGGGGAGCAAACAGG